GCCAGGCCCAGAGCUAGAGGCUCAGGAGGCAACAUUCUCAGGGCAUCACCACCAUGGCUUGGGCUCUGCUUGUCCUCACCCUCCUCUCCCAAGGCACAGGAUCCUGGUCUCAGUCUGCUCUGAAUCAGCCUCCAUCAGCCUCUGGGUCUUCAGGACAGACAGUCACCAUCUCCUGCACUGGUACCAGCAAUGAUAUUGGGAGAUAUAAUAGUGUCUCCUGGUAUCGAAAUCUCCCAGGAGCAUCCCCCACACUCCUGAUUUAUGGAGUCACUAAUCGUCCUUCUGGGAUACCUGAUCGCUUCUCUGGUUCCAAGUCUGGCAACACAGCCUCUCUGACAAUUUCUAGACUUCAGCCUGAGGAUGAGGCUGAUUAUUACUGCUGCUCAUACACAAGCAGCAGUACUUGGGUGUUCGGCGGAGGGACCAAGUUGACCGUCCUAGGUCAGCCCAAGGCUGGGCCCUCGCUCACCCUGUUCCCACCCUCCUCUGAUGAGCUCCAGAGCAACAAGGCCACACUGGUGUGUCUGAUCAACGACUUCUACCCGGGUGCCGUGACCGUGAACUGGAAGAAAGAUGGCACCAAGGUCACCCAGGGCGUGCAGAACACUCAGCCCUCCAAACAGACCAACAAUAAGUACAUGGCCAGCAGCUACCUGACUCUGACAGCAGAUGAGUGGAAAUCUCAUAAUUCAUUCACCUGCCAGGUCACUCAUGAGGGGAGCACCGUGGAGAAGAGUGUGUCCCCUGCACAGUGUUCCUAGGUCCCAGACCCUCACUCCACCCUGGACCUGAAAACCCCAGGGAAGCUUCUCUCCUCCCACCCCUACCAUCCCAGCCCUUCUCCCUCAACCCAGAAACCCUCAAUAAACAUUCUCCUUUUCAACCAGAAAA